AUUGAACGCUGGCGGCAUGCCUUACACAUGCAAGUCGAACGGUACGGGCCUUCGGGUGCCGACGAGUGGCGAACGGGUGAGUAAUGUAUCGGAACGUACCUUCAGUGGGGGAUAACGUAGCGAAAGUUACGCUAAUACCGCAUAUUCUGUGAGCAGGAAAGCAGGGGAUCGCAAGACCUUGCGCUGAUUGAGCGGCCGAUAUCAGAUUAGCUAGUUGGUGAGGUAAAGGCUCACCAAGGCGACGAUCUGUAGCGGGUCUGAGAGGAUGAUCCGCCACACUGGAACUGAGACACGGUCCAGACUCCUACGGGAGGCAGCAGUGGGGAAUUUUGGACAAUGGGGGCAACCCUGAUCCAGCCAUGCCGCGUGAGUGAAGAAGGCCUUCGGGUUGUAAAGCUCUUUCGGCCGGGAAGAAAUCGUAUGGGUUAAUACCCUGUGCGGAUGACGGUACCGGCAUAAGAAGCACCGGCUAACUACGUG
rnacentral:rRNA from 1 species